UCAGAGAUGACUUGGUUAGCCCAAUUAA
rnacentral:piRNA from 1 species